GACGAACGCUGGCGGCGUGCUUAACACAUGCAAGUCGAACGGAAAGGCCCCUUUGGGGGUCCUCGAGUGGCGGACGGGUGAGUAACACGUGGGUAACCUGCCCUUGACUUCGGGAUAACUUCAGGAAACUGGGGCUAAUACCGGAUAGGAAUCCUUGCUGCAUGGUGGGGGUUGGAAAGCUUCUGCGGUUUUGGAUGGACUCGCGGCUUAUCAGCUUGUUGGUGGGGUAGUGGCUUACCAAGGCUUUGACGGGUAGCCGGCCUGAGAGGGCGACCGGCCACAUUGGGACUGGGACACGGCCCAGACUCCUACGGGAGGCAGAAGUGGGGAAGAUUGCACAAUGGGCGGAAGCCGGAUGCAGAAACGCCGCGGGCGGGAUGACGGCCUUCGGGUUGUAAACCGAUUUCAGCAGGAGCGAAGCUUGUGGUGACGGUACCUGCAGAAGAAGCACCGGCUAACUACGUG
rnacentral:rRNA from 1 species